rnacentral:miRNA from 52 species
AGCUGGUGUUGUGAAUCAGGCCG